GUAUCCAGUUACCUAGUGCUGACUGGUGUGAUUGUGUGUUUGUGCUGUUUGUCUGUAUGUUUUUAGGCUUUAAGUUUUUGCAAGCAAAUAGCAGAUAUUAUUUAGGAUAUCUAUGUUUGUGAAAUAUUAUUUUUUUAUUUUGUUGACCAUGACAUAAAUGAGCAUCAGAGCACACCGGAGAUUCUGUGAGAUCUAGUAUUACUGGAAACAUUGCCAAACAUACAUGAUCAUUUUCAGCCUGUUGGAUGGUUUGAUUUCUACCACUUUUAUAUGUUUGGAAGAAAAAUGGGUAAUAUAUUGUGUGGAAAAGAAAAAUCAUUUCAUUUGUGAUUAAUAAAUUGUGAUUAGUAAUUUGCCUCUUUUUUUGUGUUGUAAUUAAAUUGUAAAUAAGUUUUUUUUUUUUUUUUACGAAAAUAGUUUUUUUUUCAAUGUGUGUGUAUCAUGAUUAAAACAUUGAAUUGUGUUUGUAAAAUAUAAGCCCAUUAAUGCUGCCUAUCACAUUUAUAAACCUUGCUAUUUACCGUUUUUGUCCAAGCUUGGCGUUUUUUUGCUUAUGAAGCAAAAAUUAGGGAAAAAAAACAACAAAAAUGUCAUUUUUUAUACUACUCUAGUGAAGUUUUCCACUAGAGAUUAUAUAUUAUUUUUGUGUAUUUAAUGCUAAUAAAAUUAUGUUUUGUAUUA